CAAGGGGUCACACACACUACGAUCUGACAACGAUUCUGACAACGAAACCGGAGUUGUUUAUUUGAAGAUGUACGUAGGAUAGAAACAAGCGGUGCGAGCUGUUUGUGCUGAAGAAACCCCAAAAAGGAAAACACAAAGAAAGUGGGUGAAAGAAUGGAUUAGCAGAAGCAGGCAGCAGGUGUGCUACAGAGAGAGUUGGAGUGGAGUCCACUGGUUCCAACCCCCAGUCCAGGAGAACCCCAUGUCCUAAUAACCCACUGGAUCAGGCUAACGAUGAUGCAUGCUUCAUUUGUAAUGAAGAAGGAGUUCUGGUGCACUGUAAAGAAUGUCCACGAGCUUUUCACCAUCGCUGCCACUUACCAAUACCACAGGAUGAAACAUCUAGGGACAACUGGAAGUGCACAUUCUGUGUGUUAAAGGCUAACCAGCAAUUGCAGAUGCAAAUGAGAAGGAAGGAAAUUUUAAACAGUCCUGUUUCUAAAAACAAGCUGGUACACAGACACACCUUCACACACUUGCAUAUACACACACAUACUAUAGUGCUUGAAUGUUUG